rnacentral:rRNA from 1 species
AUGGAUCACAAUGUCGACGAGACGGAUGCUCUAUUCACCGGUGAAGCCAUGAUGGUUUCCCCCGCACGCUCAACUGCCACUACCGUCAUCCCCAUGAGUAUUGCCACCGGCCUUUGCUUUCAAACUGGCAUUGCAGAAAUCAUUGAUAUUUUGUUAAACCAUAUUAAAUGUACAGGUUCAUCCAUCCACUCUCAUGCCUAUGACAAUUAA